rnacentral:rRNA from 2 species
UUAAAUUGAAGAGUUUGAUCAUGGCUCAGAUUGAACGCUGGCGGCAGGCCUAACACAUGCAAGUCGAACGGUAGCACAGAGAGCUUGCUCUCGGGUGACGAGUGGCGGACGGG